rnacentral:miRNA from 1 species
GUCUAUGUCUAUGUCUGUGCACGC